rnacentral:lncRNA from 1 species
AUGGAACCCAUCCCUAUUUGGUGACACUGAUGUCUUUAUUAUCAUCCAACCAGUAUAGCUUGUAAGGAUUGAGGUGCGAUUCACAUGUUAACCCUAUAAUAACCACUAGCAAGGUGCUGACAACAUUAAUAAAACUAUCUCCAUCAAUUAUCACACUACACACCCUUCCGUUCACUAGACAUCUUGAGUGGAAGAUGAUUUUUGUGACAUCCCAAAUACUAAUUAAAGCAUAAGGGUACCAGAU